GAGUUUUGCAACAAGCUUUUGAGUACAAGUUCAAACAAAAUCGAAGGCUUUGCUGCAGUACAAAAUAAAAAAAGCUCAGUGCAUGGAUUUAAGUUAAGACUGCAAUGCAGUAAGAACAUCAGCAGUUACUGCUGCUCGAGGUGGGAACAGUUCACAAAACUGCUCUUCUGGAGGUCAAGGUGCAUCGUUUAUAACGUUCUGCACAAAGUGUGACACAGCCGCUGUCCAAGGUGCUGAACCUGGGACAACCAGGCGGGAGGCGGGAGCUUUCUGAGUUUCAGGAGGCAGAGACAGAGGCUCUUGAUGACACGAUGAAGAGUGCGGACCAGAGCCACUGCAGGCUCAUCGCUGGCAAAAUACAAAACAGACUCCAGAGUCCACGUCUCUUCAGCAGCUCCCCAACAGUCACCGAUAAUGCUACAAGAAGCGUGGAAGGGGAAAAAGGUGCUGUCAUACACGUAGACCACCGCAGGAGAACUAGUUAACGAAGGUUAAGGCAAGAAAAGCAAAUGAGUUGGAGCUUUCUGGAAGGUUUUUGUUCUAAAAAUUUUAAAUGGUUGUGGCAUCUUACAUGUUUUUCAAACUUUGGAAACAUUUACCAGAAAUCUGGCUCGACCACAAACUAUCCGCCUCACAUAAAGUUUGCCUGGCACUUUCUUGCCUCACUUCCACACAAUCUUUGCACAGUUUAAACUAUAUACUUAAAAAAACUCAU